UACGGGGGGUGCGAGCGUUGUCCGGAAUCACUGGGCGUAAAGGGCGCGUAGGUGGUCUUGUAAGUCUGUGGUGAAAGCCCGGGGCUCAACCCCGGGUCUGCCAUGGAUACUGCGAGACUUGAGUGCUGUAGAGGCAGGUAGAAUAUCGGGUGUAGCGGUGGAAUGCGUAGAGAUCCGAUAGAAGACCGGUGGCGAAGGCGGCCUGCUGGGCAGUAACUGACACUGAGGCGCGACAGCGUGGGGAGCAAACAGG
rnacentral:rRNA from 1 species